CACCCCCCACCGCGCCCCCCCGGGGGGGCGGCGCAACCCCUCCAAUUUUAUUUUGAUUUUCAUCAUUCAAAGAAAACCAUUCAAAGUUCUGUCAAUUAUACUCAAACUUGUGUCCCUUGUUUUUACAUUGAUUCAAAGAAAAAGCUUUGCUGCUUCAACUAUCACCAACAACACACCGAGAAAGCGAAGAAAGAUGCGGUGAAUGGAGGUGUGCAAGAAGCUUUCAGAUCUGAAUUACAUGUCCGUCAAACCUACUUAAUAGACCUUCUCUGUCCAGUUCUUGUUUUGGGUAUCAUAGUGGGUCUUGAUAAUUUGGAUGGAGUUAUUGAUGUAAUUAGGAAAGCUUCAAGCAAUUCAGUGGCGUCAGCUGAUUUGAGGAAAGUGGAUGCCAGUUGAAGAAUAUGCAACUCAACCUUUUGUUCAGAAACACAGUAUUUUUAAGUAAAAUACUGAAAUAUGCCCAGCGAAGGUACACAUGAAAUACAUUGGAUUUUCUCCUGUGCUAAUAGCAUCAUCUUUCAAAGAUCAGUUAAGUUACCUCUAUUUGAACAACCAUGACUUGAGUCAAUUUUCCCAGGUUUCUGAAAAAUAUAUGCGGUGUUGGGUAAGGCUUUUGGAUUACUUCUAAAAGAUGUUAAAAAAUGGGACCAGACAAGUUUGAUUGUGCCACUCUUUUUGGAAAAAUAUUGAUUGGAUUAUGUUGGAGUGGGAUUUGCCCCCAUGUUCUACAAUGCACAACAAAACCAGCUCUUUACCUCUGGUGUCCAACCAGCCUCUUUACCUCUGCACAAGAGGAUCCAAAUUUUCCAAAGUUCAAGCAACUUCUCGGAGUCAAAAGUCGACAGUUUGGAUGUGCAGAAAAUGAAGUUGCCGAUGGAAAAUCUUCGCGUGGUUUGUGUUUCUCCUCAGGUUGUAUUAGCCACUCACCCUGAUUCUUGGGUACACCAACUAUCAAAAUUUCUUGUUCCUUUUCAUACAAUUUUUUGACAUUUAUGUUUCAAUUCAUUUUUUAUUUGGUCAAGUUUUGUGUUUUUAUUUGGUCAAGUUUUGGACCUUCGAUGGCAAAAUUCAGAGCUAAAUUACCAUGGGAUCAAGUAUGCAAAUCUAAGAAGGCUGGUGGUCUGGGAAUUCCAGACAUACAUCUUUGGAACAGAGCCUCAAUCAUAAGACACAUUUGGACUUUAUGUUCUGAAGACGCUCAAGUAUAUGGAAGGAAUGGACAAUGAAGCACCUCAUCAAGCACAAAAGUUUUUGGGAAAUCAAAAUUCCAAAUGACUACACUUGGUUUUGGAGAAAACUGUUACAAAAUAGACAUAUCGCACAUCCUUUUGUCAAACACAAGGUGAACAAUGGGGCCUCUACUAUGAUGCUCUAUGAUAAUUGGCUUCCAUGUGGACCUCUGUUUCAGGUAUUACCGUCAAAUUCUAGACAGGGAUGUCACAUCAACAAGUAUAUGAGAGCGCAUCAAAUGUGAUUAGUGGCAACCAAUGGAAUUGGCCUAGAAACCUCCACUCUUAUUCAACCCAUGUUGAUCUUACCACCUACCCCCACCAAACCAUAACAACCCAGACCUUAUCCAAUGGACACCCUCCCCAACCAAAUCCUACAGCCUCAAACACUCCCUCAAAGCCUUGACACCCUACCCCGUGUACACUGGCAUAAUUUAGUUUGGUUUUCACCCUCAAUACCCACACACUCUUUCUGCCUACGGACUGCAAUCCAAGAAAAACUCACACUUGACAAAUCAGCAAUGAGUUCUAGAAUGCUACCUAAUGUUUAUAUUAUGUGGGUAAAAGCAGCUGAAAGCCAUGAACACUUAUUCAAACAAUGUCCGUACUCCAAAUGUAUUUGGGGAAAAAUUCAAGAUAAAUGUGGAUUCUAUGCUAAUCCAAACUCAUGGCAAGAUUUUCUCAUAUGGGCAUCUUCAAAUUGGAAACAGAAAUUGAGUGCUAGCUGAGUGUUGACAUGGAAAGUUACCUUGGCAAGUUUUGUGUAUCACAUAUGGAUGGGGAGGAACAACAGAAUAUUCAAGAACAAAAGCUCUCCUCCGAUGAAGACAUUCAAUGAAAUCGUGCAGAGUGUGAGGCUGAGACUCUUCUCAAUUAAGAGAUGUAAUUGCCCUUAUGGUGAGACCAUUGCAGCCAACUGGAACCUCCCAAGUUCUUUCUUCGAACCCUCCCACAACAACCCCUUUUUCUCCUUCACCUUGCCUAAUCAGUAGUGAUGCUCUCUCUGUUGUUGCUGUGACGACCCAGGUCUAAGUUUGAAUUUUAAUUCCUUUAAGAGCAGUUGCAUAUGGAAUGGGCUUUGAAUUUUGGUGUUUGUUUCUGGUUGCUGUUUCUAGCUUUGCUUUUGUCCUGGGCCUCUUUGAUGGGGACGCGAUGUAUAGGUUGUGCUCUAUGAUUUGUUCUGGGUGAACCUAUGUUAUGUUGUUUUCGGUGCUUGCCAUGUCCAAUGGGCUGGUUUUCCUUUUUGUUUUGGUUUUUGCUUUGGUACUGGGGAAUGCCCCUUGUAAUACUGUAUUGUUCAAUUUAAACCUUAGUCACCGAAGUGUUAGAUUAGUAUUAGUAGAUACAGAAAGUCGAAGCCAGAUUCACGAGAGACACUUGGCUAUCAUGUAUUAUUUCAUUAUUGCCUCUUUUCUAACAAAAUAGUUGUUCCUUGAA